ACGACCUCAGUUGCUUACUGCUCUGACUUUGUUGGAUAAAUGUGGAUAAAAAAGGAGGCGCCUCACGAGUGGAAUGAAGCCGCACCUCAUCAACACACCUGACGCUGAUGAGUCUCCUGUCUUCAUAAGCCAGGGUGUCCUGCGUUCCAGUGCCAGAACGUAGCUACCAGUACUUGUACACAAGCCUUCGUCAUCCCCUGGUUUCAAGCUGUGUGUCUCCUCUCCCUGGAUCCCCUCUGGACUCUAUGCUGCCUUCCUGGAUCUCGACCUCACGCCUGCCCUUAGAACACAACGCCUGGCUUCAGUCCCUGAUCUCCUGCCUCUCCCUGGACCUCCGAGCCUGCCUUGCCCUUUCCGGACUUCUGCACCGCUCUCAACACGCACCUUCAACACCACCUGGUAACACUC